rnacentral:rRNA from 1 species
GAUGAACGCUAGCUACAGGCUUAACACAUGCAAGUCGAGGGACCGGCGCACGGGUGAGUAACACGUAUCAACCCUGCCCUUUACUCGGGGAUAGCCUUUCGAAAGAGAGAUUAAUACCCGAUGUAAAGGAUGGGGAUGCGUUCCAUUAGGUUGUUGGUAAGGUAACGGCUCACCAAGCCUUCGAUGGAUAGGGGUUCGGAGAGGCAGGCCCCCCAGAUUGGAACUGAGACCCGGUCCAAACUCGUACGGGAGGAAGCAGUGAGGAAUACUGGGCAAUGGGCGCUAGCCUGAACCAGCCAAGUAGCGGGAAGGAUGAAGGCUUUUGGGUCGUAAACUUCUUUGAUAGAAGAAUAUGUAUUAUAUGAAUAAGGAUCGGCUAACUCCGUGCCAGCAGCCGCGGUAAUAC